rnacentral:rRNA from 1 species
AGUGAACGCUGGCGGUAGGCCUAACACAUGCAAGUCGAACGGCAGCACAGUAAGAGCUUGCUCUUACGGGUGGCGAGUGGCGGACGGGUGAGGAAUACAUCGGAAUCUACUUUUUCGUGGGGGAUAACGUAGGGAAACUUACGCUAAUACCGCAUACGACCUACGGGUGAAAGCAGGGGAUCUUCGGACCUUGCGCGAUUGAAUGAGCCGAUGUCGGAUUAGCUAGUUGGCGGGGUGAAGGCCCACCAAGGCGACGAUCCGUAGCUGGUCUGAGAGGAUGAUCAGCCACACUGGAACUGAGACACGGUCCAGACUCCUACGGGAGGCAGCAGUGGGGAAUAUUGGACAAUGGGCGCAAGCCUGAUCCAGCCAUACCGCGUGGGUGAAGAAGGCCUUCGGGUUGUAAAGCCCUUUUGUUGGGAAAGAAAAGCAGCAGGUUAAUACCCCGCUGUUCUGACGGUACCCAAAGAAUAAGCACCGGCUAACUUCAUG